rnacentral:rRNA from 1 species
GAUGAACGCUGGCGGCGUGCCUAAUACAUGCAAGUCGAGCGAACAGAUGAGGCGCUUGCUCCUCUGACGUUAGCGGCGGACGGGUGAGUAACACGUGGAUAACCUACCUAUAAGACUGGGAUAACUUCGUGAAACCGUAGCUAAUACCGGAUACUAUAUUGAACCGCAUGGUUCAAUAGUGUAAGACGGUUUUGCUGUCACUUAUAGAUGGAUCCGCUCCGCAUUAGCUAGUUGGUAAGGUAACGGCUUACCAAGGCAACGAUGCGUAGCCGACCUGAGAGGGUGAUCGGCCACACUGGAACUGAGACACGGUCCAGACUCCUACGGGAGGCAGCAGUAGGGAAUCUUCCGCAAUGGGCGAAAGCCUGACGGAGCAACGCCGCGUGAGUGAUGAAGGUCUUCGGAUCGUAAAACUCUGUUAUUAGGGAAGAACAAAUGUGUAAGUAAAUAUGCACGUCUUGACGGUACCUAAUCAGAAAGCCACGGCUAACUACGUG